rnacentral:rRNA from 1 species
GACGAACGCUGGCGGCGUGCUUAACACAUGCAAGUCGAACGGAAAGGCCCUGCUUUUGUGGGGUGCUCGAGUGGCGAACGGGUGAGUAACACGUGAGUAACCUGCCCUUGACUUUGGGAUAACUUCAGGAAACUGGGGCUAAUACCGGAUAGGAGCUCCUGCUGCAUGGUGGGGGUUGGAAAGUUUCGGCGGUUGGGGAUGGACUCGCGGCUUAUCAGCUUGUUGGUGGGGUAGUGGCUUACCAAGGCUUUGACGGGUAGCCGGCCUGAGAGGGUGACCGGCCACAUUGGGACUGAGAUACCGCCCAGACUCCUACGGGAGGCAGCAGUGCGGCAUAUUGCACAAUGGGCGGAAGCCUGAUGCAGCAACGCCGCGUGCGGGAUGACGGCCUUCGGGUUGUAACCCGCUUUCGCCUGUGACGAAGCGUGAGUGACGGUAAUGGGUACAGAAGCACCGGCUAACUACGUG